CGCGUAGGCGGCCGUCCAAGUCCGAGGUGAAAGCCCCCGGCUCAACCGGGGAAGGGCCUUGGAUACUGGUCGGCUGGGGGGAGGUAGGGGCGGGCGGAACUUCCGGUGGAGCGGUGAAAUGCGUUGAUAUCGGAAGGAACGCCGGUGGCGAAAGCGGCCCGCUGGACCUCUGCCGACGCUGAGGCGCGAAGGCCAGGGGAGCGAACG
rnacentral:rRNA from 1 species